GCUUACGGCCAUACCACCCUGACCACGCCCUAUCUUGUAUGAUCUCAGAAGUUAAGCAGGGUCGGGCCUGGUUAGUACUUGUAUGAUACUCGAGAGUUAAGCAGGGUCGGGCCUGGUUAGUACUUGGAUGGGAGACCGCCUGGGAAUACCAGGUGCUGUAAGCU
rnacentral:rRNA from 1 species